GAUGAACGCUGGCGGCGUGCUUAACACAUGCAAGUCGAACGAAGCACUUGAAACGGAUUCUUCGGAUGAAGUUUCCUGUGACUGAGUGGCGGACGGGUGAGUAACGCGUGGGUGACCUGCCUCAUGCAGGGGGAUAACAGUUAGAAAUGGCUGCUAAUACCGCAUAAGCGCACAGCAUCGCCUGAUGCAGUGUGAAAGACUCCGGUGGUAUGAGAUGGACCCGCGGUGGAUUAGCUAGUUGGCAGGGUAACGGCCUACCAAGGCGACGAUCCAUAGCCGGCCUGAGAGGGUGGACGGCCACAUUGGGACUGAGACACGGCCCAGACUCCUACGGGAGGCAGCAGUGAGGAAUAUUGCACAAUGGGGGAAACCCUGAUGCAGCGACGCCGCGUGAGCGAAGAAGUAUUUCGGUAUGUAAAGCUCUAUCAGCAGGGAAGAAAAUGACGGUACCUGACUAAGAAGCCCCGGCUAACUACGUGCCAGCCGCCGCGGUAA
rnacentral:rRNA from 1 species